AAAGUGGGUAUAAUACCGGAUAUGACUCCUCAUCGCGUGGGGGGGGGGGGAAAGUUUUAUUGGGGUUUUGGAUGCACUCGCGCUCUAUCAUUUUGUUGGAGAGGAAGUGUUUUACCAGGGACACCACGGAUACCCGCUCUGAGAGGGAGACCGCCCACUCUGAGACUGACACACGCCCCACACUCCUACGGGAGGCAGCAGGGGAGAAUAUUGCACAGGGGGCGAAACUCUGAUGCAGACACCCCGCGAGAGGGAUGACGCUCUUCGGGGUGAAAACCUCUUUCAAUAGGAAAAAAGAAAAAGAGACGGCCCCUGCAAAAAAAGCCCCGUAUAUCUACGUGCCAACACCCGGGAAAAUACAUAGGGCGCAAGCGAUAUCCGAAAUUAUUGGGCGUAAAGAUCUCAUAGGGGGUUUGUCGCGUCUGCCGAGAAAGCCCGGGGCUCAUCUCCAGAUCUGCGGUGGACACGGACACACUAGAGUGAUGUAGGGGAGACUGAAAUUCCUGGUGUAGCGGAGAAAUGCGCAUAUAUCAAGAAGAACACCUAUGGAGAAGGCAGGUCUCUGGGUAUUAUCUGACUCUGAAGAGAGAAAGCAUGGAG
rnacentral:rRNA from 1 species